rnacentral:rRNA from 1 species
UACGUAGGGUGCAAGCGUUAAUCGGAAUACUGGGCGUAAAGCGUGCGCAGGCGGCUAUGCAAGACAGAUGUGAAAUCCCCGGGCUAACCUGGGAACUGCAUUUGUGACUGCAUGGCUAGAGUGGGGCAGAGGGGGAUGGAAUUCCGCGUGUAGCAGUGAAAUGCGUAGAUAUGCGGAGGAACACCGAUGGCGAAGGCAAUCCCCUGGGCCCGUACUGACGCUCAUGCACGAAAGCGUGGG